GACGAACCGUCCAAACGUUGUUCGGAAUCACUGGGCUUAAAGGGCGCGUAGGCGGACUGCCAAGUCCGGGGUGAAAUCUUUCGGCUUAACCGGAAAAGGGCCUUGGAAACUGGCGGUCUCGAGGGAGGUAGGGGCCUGUGGAACUUCGGGUGGAGCGGUGAAAUGCGUUGAUAUCGGAAGGAACGCCGGUGGCGAAAGCGACCCGCUGGACCUCUUCUGACGCUGAGGCGCGAAAGCCAGGGGAGCAAACGGGG
rnacentral:rRNA from 1 species